GUGGCUGUCGCCCGUCGGAGCUAGGCGAGAAAGGAGCAGGCGGCGGCGGCUCAACUUCACAUCCCGGUAAGGUUGUCCUCCUCCUGUAGAUGCAUUUGUUCUUGAUGUCACUGGGGAAAUUGAAAUAUGUUUCUCGCUAUGGUCCUUGCCAGGUACCUGACUAUAGAAUAUGAACAUACCAUAGUCAAUGCAUACCCAUUAUUAUUUUUGGUCUAAGAUUUUCGUUUUGUUCUACUUUCCAACACUAGGAUUUAAUGUUGAGCGUAUCUGGGAGAUACAAGCUCAUGAAACUGUAGAGUUAUGGACAAUAAAUUGUUCUCACGUUUCAGGCGAAGGCACUGCGUCCUUUGGUUGGAUGUAAGAUUCACUUCAUACUUUGUCUUGAACUUCAAUUACUGAAGCUUUGUGCCAUUUUCUUGUUUGGCAGUGGCGGCCAUUUGUUUGAUUACUCAAGUGCGGUUGUGGCAUUUCCAUUGUUAGGAUAAAUGGAAUUCUGGUGCUAGGAUAAAUGGACUGGUUGGUUUCCUCUAAGAUGGAUAUUUUGCAGCCACAAGCCAGAGAAAAAGGUGGUAAAUGUUGGCACAAAAUGAAGGUCAUGUGAUUGCUAAGGAUCCGUCCGAACCACACGAAGAUUCAUGGAGAGUUGUUGCCCCUUCAGGCGACCUGAUGUUGGGCCGAGAGCCUUGGACGAAGAUAGGUCAUCGCCAUGAACGAGUCAACAUGUGUCUUUGCUAGAGUGGGUGGACCGUGUUCUUAGUGACAUCUAUUUCACUUUUUUACUUAUCAAAAGGAUUGAACGAUUAAAAGCCUUUUAUCUAUGUUGAUAAAUUUAUUCUCUUAUAAAUUUUCGUGUUUAUUCGGUACAUUUGUAACAAACCAUGGUGUUCAAAAUAUUUGUACCUCGUGAUGUGUCUGCAGAAGAUGCGAGUUGAUAUGCACAUUCUUAUGCCUUUUAUCU